GUCAGGGUAGCUCAGUUGGUGAGAGCGCCGGAUUCAUAACCCGGAGGUCGGGAGUUCAAAUCUCCCCCUUGACACCA
rnacentral:tRNA from 1 species